AGACAGCACAACUCCAUCCACUGUUGCCGCUACCUACUUGUUGUUUGGCCCGAUAACUCAAUGACAAGCUUGCUCUGCUUGAAAAGUUUGUCUGCUGAACGGAGUCCUCUGAUCCUAGAGCCGGUCCAAGCAAGCCAACCUAGACCGCCUGAGACAGACCUCAGCAAUUAUUUAGACUUGGGGCCACAUUGAUAGAAAAAAAUGCGUCUAGGGGGGCUGGUGUGUGUGUAUAAAACAAAUAUUUACAUAUAUAUACAUACAUAUAUAUAUAUGUAUGUAUAUAUAUCCGUGUCGUUUGUCUGCCAUGAUUUUCCAGCCAAACGACACGAGUGCACAUGUGCCUGACUUCGUUUUCAGGAAGUAAGCAGUGUUACCUAAAAUGCAGUAAUAAAUUAAGUUUUUUCGGUAAUUAAAUAUUUAGACAGUAUUACUAGUCGUGUGUGUGUGUGUGUGUGUGUGUGUGUGUGUGUGUGUGCGUUUGUCAAAGUGACAUAUGGGGACAUUUUUAUGAAAUUUCACCUUACAUAUGAGGACCUGUUGAAAUAUGGGGACAUUUUCCAUGUCCUCAUAUUUCCCGCAAUGCUAUCGUGUUCUAGACCCUCCCAGCAUGUUCCCAGACCAAAAAUCUCUAAAGUCUUCAUUUGUCAAAUUUUCAGAAAAAGUGUGUGAAAGUGUGUUUAAUUUUUUUGGUCACCUUCGAUUUUGCCCCUAGUGGCCAUCUUUGCUAUUAUGACACACACACACACACACUUGUCCUCAUAUGUCAUAUGUCCUCAUAUGUCAUGUGGGUCAGAAACUCACACACUCCAACAUUUGAAAAACAUCUAAUCAUUACAGCAAUAAACAUACUUUUGAAUUCUAAAUCAAAUAACACAUUUUCAACUGAUCUGAUGAUCUCAACCUUUUUUAUGUUAGUUUUAUCUAUUCAUUUGGUUUAUCUGGAGAGGAUUUGUGCUGGACAAUCAAUAAUAAAGGGAUUAUGGUGAUGAUUUAAUCGGUUUGAUUCAGUAUUUUACUGUAUUGGGCUUUUUUCUAUUCUGUUGUCUAAAAUACAAUGCCGCACAAUAAUUACUUUAAAUGUGCCUGAAAAAAAACCUUCAACCUUGAUUGAGACAAAGGCGAUAAUUCAAAUGCAAUUCAAACUACAUCCAGUAUUUAAUAUUUUCAAAUGGUUACAAUAGCACAUGAUUUUGGUAUUUUUAUCUUUGGGACAAAUUUUGGAUUCAAUUGGGGAUUGUUUUUGGAGGUAUUCACUUCACAUUGUGUUCAAGAUGCUUACUUCCGCCCACUCUGAAGAGUCUCGGCGUCUGAUUGGUCCAAUUUUCAGUUAGGCGCUGCCUGAUUGGCCAGUGGAUGAUGUCUGCUCCUAACAGAGGGCUAAAUCACUAGUUAACUAUUUUCAUCUUGGAAGUUAUACAGCUCACGUAUCACACUUAAUAUUGAAUAUAUAUAAAAAGGGUUUUCCAAAAGGACCAUUUAUAAUCGAAAUACAAAACUUCACACACGAUUUUGAGCACAACAGAGCGCUCAGUGAACAUCACUUCCGGGACGUGCAGCACCAGAGGGGGACAUCUAUCUUGGCCACAAACCAUCUUUGACAGUCUUCGGCAGCAUGGUUGAAUCAGGCGCAUCAACACAUGAUAUAGACAUCGUGCCCAAAAGAAGAGCGAGAUGUAAUCCUGAGGCUGAAGCCACCGAGUUUAUGUGAUCUGGAUGUGACAAGUCUUGUUUUAAGGCCCAGUGGAUCAAUGAUUGGAAAGACACCAACUGUUGAUGUUCUAUCUCAACAUUCUCCAGAUUCAUGUGAGCGAUAAACCGACUUCAUCCCUCCAACAGACACCAACUGUUGGGGUUCUAUCUCAACAUUCUCCAGAUUCAGAUGUGAGCGAUAAACCGACUUCAUCCCUCCAACAGAAACCAACUGUUGAGGUUCCAUCUCAACAUUCUCCAGAUUCAGAUGUGAGCCAUUAACUGACUUCAUCCCUCCAACAGAAACCAACUGUUGAGGUUCUAUCUCAACAUUCUCUAGAUUCAGAUGACAGCCAUAAACCGACUUCAUCCCUCCAACAGAUUGACAGCAGGACAAAUCGCUGGAAGUGGGUAUGUCUCAAGCUUCUUCCACUUGGUCCACUCCAAAGCGGGCUGCAAAGGGGAAGAAGUGGAAGCAGUUGAAUGACACAUGUUGCAUUUUGUAACUGGCAACAAAGUACCAGGUAAAAAAGAUUGUGAAGCCUCCCUCCAUAAAGAACUAGUAGCUCUACAGGACAGAGAUUGGCUUGCCAUCAAGUACUACAUCCAUAACAGAAUUAUAUUUAAAAAAGGAAAAAAAAAUGUUUUCCCACAUCUUCUGUGGUAGUUUGAGUAUGUUACCAGCAAUUAAAAGAGCAAAAUAAA